GCCUCCCUCCCCCCUCCCUCCCUUCUCCCCCCCCAAAAAGCCUUUGGCAUCAUUAUCCUCAUCACUAAAUCCUACAGAGUACAGGGCGGAAAACGGUGCACAC
rnacentral:lncRNA from 1 species